UGGUAUGCACUGGUAUUAUUGAUUUCUACCUUCCGACGAACCAUGAUGUCAUUAAUUUGGUGUCAUGGGGAAUCAGGACUGUUACUUUGAAAAAAUUAGAGUGUUUAAAGCAAGCACACGCUUGAAUACAUUAGCAUGGAAUAAUGAAAUAGGACGUUUGACCCUAUUUUGUUGGUUUCUAGGAUCGACGUAAUGAUUAAUAGGGAUAGUUGGGGGCAUUAGUAUUCAAUUGUCAGAGGUGAAAUUCUUGGAUUUAUUGAAGACUAACUACUGCGAAAGCAUUUGCCAAGGAUGUUUUCAUUAAUCAAGAACGAAAGUUAGGGGAUCGAAGACGAUCAGAUACCGUCGUAGUCUUAACCAUAAACUAUGCCGACUAGGGAUCGGAUGAUGUUAAUUUUUUAAUGACUCAUUCGGCGCCUUACG
rnacentral:rRNA from 1 species